rnacentral:rRNA from 1 species
UACGGGGGGGGCAAGCGUUGUUCGGAAUUAUUGGGCGUAAAGAGCUCGUAGGCGGCCUGUCGCGUCGGAUGUGAAAGCCCGGGGCUUAACCCCGGGUCUGCAUUCGAUACGGGCUAGCUAGAGUGUGGUAGGGGAGAUCGGAAUUCCUGGUGUAGCGGUGAAAUGCGCAGAUAUCAGGAGGAACACCGGUGGCGAAGGCGGAUCUCUGGGCCAUUACUGACGCUGAGGAGCGAAAGCGUGGGGAGCGAACAGG